UACCAGCACCCCGAGUGGUCGGGACGAUUAUUGGGCCUAAAGCAUCCGUAGCCGGCCUUACAAGUCCUCCGUUAAAUCCAGCUGCUUAACAGAUGGGCUGCGGAGGAUACUAUAAGACUAGGAGGCAGGAGAGGCAAGCGGUACUCAGUGGGUAGGGGUAAAAUCCGUUGAUCCAUUGAAGACCACCAGUGGCGAAGGCGGCUCACUGGCCCGGUACUGACGCUGAGGCGCGAAAGCGUGGGGAGCAAACAGG
rnacentral:rRNA from 1 species